rnacentral:rRNA from 1 species
UUUAACGGAGAGUUUGAUCCUGGCUCAGGACGAACGCUGGCGGCGUGCUUAACACAUGCAAGUCGAACGAUGAGGGCCCGGGCUUGCCCGGGUCUGAUUAGUGGCGAACGGGUGAGUAACACGUGAGUAACCUGCCCCCCGACUUCGGGAUAACCGCGAGAAAUCGUGGCUAAUACCGGAUAUGACGCCCCUGCCGCAUGGUGGGGUGUGGAAAGACUGUGUCGGUCGGGGGAUGGGCUCGCGGCCUAUCAGCUUGUUGGUGGGGUGAUGGCCUACCAAGGCCGACGGGUAGCCGGCCUGAGAGGGUGACCGGCCACACUGGGACUGAGACACGGCCCAGACUCCUACGGGAGGCAGCAGUGGGGGAAUAUUGCACAAUGGGCGCAAGCCUGAUGCAGCGACGCCGCGUGAGGGAUGACGGCCUUCGGGUUGUAAACCUCUUUCAGUAGGGAAGAAGCCUCUCGGGGUGACGGUACCUGCAGAAGAAGCGCCGGCUAACUACGUGCCAGCAGCCGCGGUAAUACGUAGGGCGCAAGCGUGUCCGGAAUUAUUGGGCGUAAAGAGCUCGUAGGCGGUCUGUCGCGUCUGCUGUGAAAACG